rnacentral:rRNA from 1 species
UACAGAGGGUGCGAGCGUUAAUCGGAAUUACUGGGCGUAAAGCGUGCGUAGACGGUUAUUUAAGUCGGAUGUGAAAGCCCCCGGCUCAACUGGGGAGGGUCAUUCGAUACUGUUCGACUCGAAGGCAGGAGAGGGAAGUGGAAUUCCCGGUGUAGUGGUGAAAUGCGUAGAUAUCGGGAGGAACACCAGUGGCGAAGGCGACCUCCUGGCCUGUUCUUGACGCUGAGGCGCGAAAGCUAGGGGAGCAAACGGG